rnacentral:lncRNA from 1 species
GCCACAGAUUCAUCAGCUGAAAACAUGCGGGAGGACUGGGCCCACUGGCCUUCCCACUGUCAUUCACCACCACCAGCCCUUUGAGAGCCUGCCAUUCUGGAACCUUCUUUUCCAGCCACAGUCUUAAGAUGAUGAGCAACCUCUGCAGAAAGAAUGUAAAGUUACAACACGCACACAGAUCCCAUCAAGAUGAGAGUGAGUGGAGAUGAUGCCCUAUUUCCAAGCAGCUCAGAGUGCAUGUGUGCCAGACACGAGCGGACUGCCGGAGAUAGCUGACACAGAUCCGAGGACACAGAAGGAGGCUCUUUAAAAAGCCAGAGCAACAGCUAGCAUGUGAGAGGUCUGAUUAAUCCACCAAGGGCUUAUCUAUGCAUCAACAAACAGCGAUGGUCUGUGUCUUG